GACGAACGCUGGCGGCGUGCUUAACACAUGCAAGUCGAACGGAAAGGCCUGCUUUUGUGGGGUGCUCGAGUGGCGAACGGGUGAGUAACACGUGAGUAACCUGCCCUUGACUUUGGGAUAACUUUAGGAAACUGGGGCUAAUACCGGAUAGGAGCUCCUGCUGCAUGGUGGGGGUUGGAAAGUUUCGGCGGUUGGGGAUGGACUCGCGGCUUAUCAGCUUGUUGGUGGGGUAGUGGCUUACCAAGGCUUUGACGGGUAGCCGGCCUGAGAGGGUGACCGGCCACAUUGGGACUGAGAUACGGCCCAGACUCCUACGGGAGGCAGCAGUGGGGAAUAUUGCACAAUGGGAGGAAGCCUGAUGCAGCAACGCCGCGUGCGGGAUGACGGCCUUCGGGUUGUAAACCGCUUUCGCCUGUGACGAAGCGUGAGUGACGGUAAUGGGUAAAGAAGCACCGGCUAACUACGUG
rnacentral:rRNA from 1 species